GGGUCUGGAAACUUUCCUCCGGAGGAGUAGCACCGAUGGUCGGGCCGCCAUCU
rnacentral:ncRNA from 1 species